AACAACGAACUGUGAGAAGUCAGCAGAGCCCAUAGUAGUGAAGAAGUUUCCGUAAUGGAAAUGGAGCAAAGG
rnacentral:ncRNA from 2 species